UUUAGCUCAUCUGGCCCGAAGGGCCAAGUGAGCUUUUCUCAUCACUUUGCGUCCGUCGUCCGUCGUCGUCGUCGUCGUCGUCGUCGUCCGGCGUCGUCUGUUAACUUUUACAAAAAUCUUCUCCUCUGAAACUACUGGGUCAAAUUUAACCAAACUUGGUCACAAUCAUCAUUGGGGUAUAUAGUUUUAAAAAUGUGUCCGGUGAUCCGGUCAACCAACCAAGAUGGCCGAAAUGGCUAAAAAUAGAACAUAGGGGUAAAAUGUAGAUUUUGGCUUAUAUCUCUGAAACCAAAGCAUUUAGAGCAAAUCUGACAAAGUAAAAUUGUUUAUCAGGUCAAGAUCUCUCUGCCCUGAAAUUUUCAGAUGAAUAUGACAACCCGUUGUUGGGUUGCUGCCCCUGAAUUGGUAAUUUUAAGGAAAUUUUGCCGUUUUUGGUUAUUAUCUUGAAUAUUAUUAUAGAUAGAGAUAAACUGUAAACAGCAAUAAUGUUCAGCAGAGUAAGAUCUACAAUUAAGUCAACUUGACCAAAAUGGUCAGUUGACCUCUUAAGGAGUUAUUGCCCUUUAUAAUCAAUUUUUAACCAUUUUUCGUAAAUUUUUGUAAUCUUUUACCAAAAUCUUCUCCUCUGAAACUACUAAGACAAAUUUAACCAAACUUGUCCACAAUCAUCAUUAGGGUAUAUAGUUUAAAAAAUGUGUCCGAUGACCCCGCCCGCGAACCAAGAUGGCCGACAUGGCUAAAAAAUAGUACAUAGGGUAAAAUGCAGUUUUUGGCUCAUAUCUCUGAAACCAAAGCAUUUAGAGCAAAUCUGAUAUGGGGUAAAAUUGUUUAUCAGGUCAAGAUUUAUCUGCCCUGAAAUUUUCAGACCAAUCAGGCAAAUCGUUGUUUGGUUGCUGCCCCUGAAUUGGUAAUUUUAAUGAAAUUUUGUCGUUUUUGGUUAUUAUCUUGAAUAUUAUUAUAGAUAGAGAUAAACUGUAAACAGCAAUAAUGUUCAGCAAAGUAAGAUCUACAAUUAAGUCAACUUGACCAAAAUGGUCAGUUGACCCCUUAAGUAGUUAUUGCCCUUUAUAGUCAAUUUUUAACCAUUUUUCGUAAAUUUUUGUAAUCUUUUACAAAAAUCUUCUCCUCUGAAACUACUAAGACAAAUUUAACCAAACUUGUCCACAAUCAUCAUUAGGGUAUAUAGUUUAAAAAUGUGUCCGAUGACCCCGCCCGCGAACCAAGAUGGCCGACAUGGCUAAAAAUAGAACAUAGGGGUAAAAUGUAGAUUUUGGUUUAUAUCUCUGAAACCAAAGCAUUUAGAGUAAAUCUGACAUGGGGUAAAACUGAUUAUCAGGUCAAGAUCUAUCUGCCCUGAAAUUUUCAGACAAAUCUGACAACCUGUUGUUGGGUUGCUGCCCCUGAAUUGGUAAUUUUAAGGAAAUUUUGCAGUUUUUGGUUAUUAUCUUGAAUAUUAUUAUAGAUAGAGAUAAACUGUAAACAGCAAUAAUGUUCAGCAAAGUAAGAUCUACAAAUAAGUUGUCAUGACCAAAAUUGUCAGUCGACCCCUUUAGGAGUUAUUGCCCUUAAUAGUCAAUUUUUAACAAUUUUUCGUAAAUGUUUGUAAUCUUUUACAAAAAUCUUCUUCUCUGAAACUACAGAGACAAAUUUAACCAUACUUGGCCAUAAUCAUUAUUAGGGUAUCUAGUUUAAAAAAUUUGUCCGAUGACCCCGCCUUUCAACCAUCAUGGCCGACUUAGUUAAAAAUAGAACAUAGGGGUAAAAUGCAGUUUUUGGUUUAUAUCUCUGAAACUGAAGCAUUUAGAGCAAAUCUGACAGGUGGCACAAAUGUUCAUCAGAUUUAGAUUUAUCUGCCCUGAAAUUUUCAGACAAAUCCGACAACCCGUUGUUGGGUUUCUGCCCCUGAGUUAAUAAUUUUACAAAAAUUUUGCAUUUUUUUGUUAUUAUCUUAGAUAUCAUUAUAAUAUCUAAUAUCUAAUACUAUGAAUUAUGAUUUUAACCUUAUUUUACAUGAUUUCCAAAGCAUCAGUAAGUACAGGUGAGCGACACAGGCUCUUGAGAGCCUCUAGUUUUUUAUAUUUUCUGGAUUUUACUGAUGAAUGGACUCAGUUUUCGGCUGUCUGUCUACAUUACGCUUCACAUAUGACAGUAGCAAUAACAGGCUAGACACAGGCUCCCUUUACAAAUUUUUUUUUUAUUAAAGUUCAGAUUUGAUCCAUAAAACUUUUACAAAGAAAUCUACUAGUAACUGUACAAGGCCUUUACAAAUUGUUUCCCAUAGACAUGUAAAUAAAUCAGGUCACCUUGACAUGCAUUGAUGCAUAUAGAACUGGAUAAUAUAUUUUUUGUAUAGAUCUAUGAAACCACAAUUAGAGAAAACUAAAUAUUAAAAUUUGUUGCUUGACACCAAUGGUAAUAAAAGUUUUUACAGAAUAUGGAUCAAUUUGAUCAACUGCUCAAGACCAUCCUGGGAACAUGUAAGUCUGCACACUAAAUAUGUUUUUUUUGUACAUAAUUUUUGAAAAGCUCUCAACAUUUGUAUGUUAUCUCUAUGUGAUGGAUCAAAAUGUCUCUCUCUUGAAUAUAAAAAAUGUGAAUGUACAAUUUUAUUUGUUCCAAGGAAAUUGAUUUAAACUUAGUCUCUCUUUCUUGAUCAUUUUAAUUACAAUAAUAUAUUUGAAGGAGCUGUUUACCAGUGAUAAGACUAUUAAUGUGCACAUAUAUUGGCCUAUUAAACACUAUUGCACAUUGCAUUUAAAACAAAACAUAUUUAUGUUAUUCAGCCUGAACCCUCCAGAAGGAUUUCAAAUCAAGUUUUUGAAUUUUUAAGCCACAAAAAUAUCUAUGACAUUUUAAUCCUGCAAAUAACUAAAGCGGAAAUGUUUCAUGUCUAGACAAAAAAUUUGGGAUUUUGAUAUUUUGAUAAUAUUAUGAUAGAAAGUGAUGUAAAAUAUAUAUGAUUUUUAUGUAACAGAAAAUGGUUUUGUGACCGUGAUUUUAAAAACUGAUUUUUAUGCAAAUUUUUAUGUUGUCUUCAUAAAACAGAAUUCAUAUUCUUAAUGCAUGAAAUUUGUAUAAUAAUAUUUUCUUGAGUAUUUAUUUAUUGUAAUAUCAUCUGUGACGAAAUAAAUAUGUAAACUAUA